UGGCUGGCACGCGACUGGCGCAGUCAAGGUGGAGACGACCACCGGGGAGCGAAAGUAGUCCGCACACCGCGCGCCUGGGUGUACGGG
rnacentral:ncRNA from 1 species